GAAGGCAUAGUUCAGUGGUAAAGUGCAUGCCUAGCAUGCAUGAGGUCAUGGGUUCAAUCCCUAGUACCUUCA
rnacentral:tRNA from 1 species